AGAGUUUGAUCAUGGCUCAGAGUGAACGCUGGCGGCGUGCCUAACACAUGCAAGUCGAGCGAAGUGGCAGUUCCCGCAAGGGGAUAUGUGCUUAGCGGCAGACGGGUGAGUAACACGUAGACAAUCUUCCUCUUAGAGGGGGAUAGCCCACCGAAAGGUGGGGUAAUACCCCGUACGAUCAAGUUCCGGCAUCGGAUUUUGAUGAAACCCGCAAGGGGCUGAGAGACGAGUCUGCGGCCUAUCAGCUAGUUGGUGAGGUAACGGCUCACCAAGGCUACGACGGGUAACCGGCCUGAAAGGGCGAACGGUCACACUGACACUGGGACACGGGUCAGACUCCUACGGGAGGCAGCAGUGAGGAAUCUUGGACAAUGGGGGAAACCCUGAUCCAGCGACGCCGCGUGAAGGAUGAAGGUCUUCGGAUUGUAAACUUCUUUUGUCGGGGAAUAAUAAAAUGAAGGUACCCGAUGAAUAAGCCACGGCUAACUUCGUGCCAGCAGCCGCGGUAAUACGAAGGUGGCAAGCGUUACUCGGAUUUACUAGGCGUAAAGGGCAGGUAGGUGGUUUGAUAAGUCUGUUGUGUAAGCUCCCGGCUUAACUGGGAGAGGUCAACGGAAACUAUCAGGCUUGAGUAUAGGAGAGGGUACUGGAAUUCCCGGUGUAGCGGUGAAAUGCGCAGAUAUCGGGAGGAACACCAAUGGCGAAAGCAGGUACCUGGACUAUUACUGACACUCAGCUGCGAAAGCUAGGGGAGCAAACAGGAUUAGAUACCCUAGUAGUCC
rnacentral:rRNA from 1 species